rnacentral:rRNA from 1 species
AUGAUGUUUAAAGACAUUAAACUUCUAGAACCUGCUCAUGUUGACAUGUUACGGCGUACAUUUAACAUUGAUGAUGGUCUUAUUGUUCAAGAGGUGUCUGGACGAUCUCCUUCUGAGAAAUUUGGAAUCCAAAAAGGUGAUAUUAUUGAAUCUUUCAACGGAAGGCCUAUUUUUUCCACAAUUGAGUUGGAAAAUACGCUGAUGAGCAUAUGCAAAGGCCCUUUAGAUGCUGAAGUUCAUAUUUCUGGAAGUUCAUUUCUACAUAUAAGGACGGUUUGCUUGAUCCCGGCCAUCCAUUAUUUGUACGGACGAAAUAUUAGGAAAGUGCUAGCUCUAAGACAUAUAACUCCAUAG